GAUGAACGCUGGCGGCGUGCCUAAUACAUGCAAGUCGAGCGAACGUACGAGAAGCUUGCUUUUCUGAUGUUAGCGGCGGACGGGUGAGUAACACGUGGAUAACCUACCUAUAAGACUGGGAUAACUUCGGGAAACCGGAGCUAAUACCGGAUAAUAUUUUGAACCACAUGGUUCAAAAGUGAAAGACGGUCUUGCUGUCACUUAUAGAUGGAUCCGCGCUGCAUUAGCUAGUUGGUAAGGUAACGGCUUACCAAGGCAACGAUGCAUAGCCGACCUGAGAGGGUGAUCGGCCACACUGGAACUGAGACACGGUCCAGACUCCUACGGGAGGCAGCAGUAGGGAAUCUUCCGCAAUGGGCGAAAGCCUGACGGAGCAACGCCGCGUGAGUGAUGAAGGUCUUCGGAUCGUAAAACUCUGUUAUUAGGGAAGAACAUAUGUGUAAGUAACUGUGCACAUCUUGACGGUACCUAAUCAGAAAGCCACGGCUAACUACGUG
rnacentral:rRNA from 1 species